rnacentral:rRNA from 1 species
UACAGAGGUGGCAAGCGUUGUUCGGAAUUACUGGGCGUAAAGCGUGCGCAGGCGGUUUUGUAAGCCAGAUGUGAAAGCCCCGGGCUCAACCUGGGAAUGGCAUUUGGGACUGCAAGGCUUGAGUGCGGCAGAGGAGACUAGAAUUCCUGGUGUAGCAGUGAAAUGCGUAGAUAUCAGGAGGAAUACCGAUGGCGAAGGCAGGUCUCUGGGCUGACACUGACGCUCAUGCACGAAAGCGUGGGGAGCAAACAGG